rnacentral:lncRNA from 1 species
ACACACACAUGUACACUAAUAUUUAUAUGUGUAUACAUAUAUAUACACGUACAUGAACACUCUAUGUAUAUAUAUACACAACACGCACCCAUACCCUCUGUAUUUAUUAUAUACAUCUACACCAACACAUACGUAUAUAUAUGUAUAUUUUUUGCAUAUAUAUAUAUAUAUAUAUUUAUAAAUGCACAAACAUAUAUGUGCGUAUAUAUGGACACAAAUACAUAAACACUGCGCAUAUAUUUUUAUAUACAUAAGACACACACACAUACCUAAUGUAUACAUAUGUAUAACUACACCAACAUGUAUAUAUAUAUAUAUAUAUAUACUGCAUAUGUACUUAUCUACAAAUACACACAUAUAUAUACAUGGGACAUACAAAAAUAAAUGCUGCACACACACAUAUAUAUAAAAUGUGUACUCAUCUGCCGUAUAUGUAUAUUUAUGCACUAACACCUAUAUAUAUUUUAUCUCCUAAUUCCCCUUUUUUUUUUAAAAAAAAAAAAAAAAGAAAUUCUUCUGUUUUGUUCUUAACUGAAUGCUUUUAGAUUUGAGUUGCUCAUCCUCCAAACUAAUCAAACUUCCUUGCUUUUCUCCAUUACGUUUACGUUUGAGUUUUGACGAUGUUAUUCGGUAGUGAUUAGAGAAAAGAAUAAAGGAAUCUUGUUUAUUUUCAAGUUUUAAAAUGUGAUAAAGAAGAAAGAGAAAUGAUUUAAAGUUGUAGGAGUAGGAGUAGGAGAAGAGAAUAAGGAGGGGCUCUACGAUUUCCUCCUUCAUGGGAGUUAUGAAGAUUUUAG